rnacentral:snoRNA from 1 species
CUGCAGUGAUGACUUGAAUUUCUUCACCUGAAGCACCUUGAUGCUUAUUGAGCUUUUUAACCCUGAGCAUU